CCUACGGGAGGCAGCAGUGGGGAAUAUUGCUCAAUGGGCGAAAGCCUGACGCAGCGACGCCGCGUGAGGGAUGAAGGUCUUCGGAUCGUUAACCUCUGUCAGCAGGGAAGAACGGUCACUGUGCUAAUCAGCAGUGAAUUGACGGUACCUACAAAGGAAGCACCGGCUAACUCCGUGCCAGCAGCCGCGGUAAGACGGAGGGUGCGAGCGUUAAUCGGAAUUACUGGGCGUAAAGCGCUCGUAGGCGGUAUGUCAAGUCAAGGGUGAAAUCCCCGCGCUCAACGUGGGAACUGCCGUUGGAACUGGUAAACUGGAGUGUGUGAGAGGAUAGUGGAAUUCCAGGUGUAGGAGUGAAAUCCGUAGAUAUCAGGAGGAACCUCAGUGGCGAAGGCGACUAUCUGGCACAUAACUGACGCUGAGGAGCGAAAGCGUGGGUAGCGAACAGGAUUAGAUACCCCGGUAGUC
rnacentral:rRNA from 1 species